CAUUCACAUUUGGGUGUAUUGGGUAUUUGUGCCCAGUUUGGUCCAGUGAAUGAAAAUACAUCUUGCAUAUCAGAUAUUUACAUUAUGAUUUAUAACAGUAGUAAAAUGACUGUUAUGAAGUAGCAACAAAAACAAUAUUAUGGUUGGGGGUCACCACAACAUGAGGGACUGUAUUAAGGGGUCACGGCAUUAGGAAGUUUGAGAACCACUGGUCUACACAAAGGUGCAUCCAACUAUGCCCACUAUAAUUUGCUCUCAGGAAAGUAUGACAGGAAUUGUCAUAUUCUUGCCUUGUUUAUAUGUGUGGUCAUGUGAGAAACUAGGAAGAGGCUUGUUCUCGUCCAUGACUGAAAUAAACCAAUCCAUUCAUUCUGGAAAGCAUGUUCCUUGGUUUACUUAUGGUUUACACAUACCACAUCCUGCCCUGUUUGAAAGAAUUGACAUAGCACUUUUGCUCAAGGUAGCAUCUAAAUAUUCUUAAACAAAGCAGGCAAUUUCUGAUCCUUCGAAUGUCGGCAUACACCCAACUAUCCCAAUCUGGCAACAAUCCUGAGCAAUCCUCUGUCAUCUCAUUUUUUCAGCUGCUUUCCUCCCACUUGGUUCAGAUUAGUUCAAUAGCUGCAAACUGAGUUUAAGGCCUUGGCAACCUCCCUCUGAAUGAAUUAUGCCAAGACAAAUUUGUUAUAGGUUCACUUUAGGAUUGGGCAUAUAACAACAACAAUACACACUCAUGCCUUCCGAAAAAUCUUCCAAAAAUUCUUACACUAUAUGUAGAAGUCAAAACAAAGGUGUUUUAUUUGUUGUCGAAGGAUUUCAUGACCAGAAUCACCAUGUUCCAAAGCAUUCUCUCCUGACGUUUCGCCCACAUCCACAAAUAUAUAUAAACCUCACUUGCCUAGUCUCCAACAGACCUCACAACCUCUGAGUAUGCCUGCCAUAGAUGUAGGUGAAACGUCAGGAGACAAUGCAUCUGGAACAUGGCCAUACAGCCUAGAAAAUUCAAAGCAACCCGAAGGUGUUUUAUUCCAGCCUACACAUUCCUCCCAGCUGCUUUGGAUUUAGGAGUUCUCUUUGCUAAAUCAUACUGCAGAUUAAUUUUCCUUCUUGUCUUGACAGAUUACAAACCCAUUCAACUGUAGCAGUACCACCUGGUGUAUCUUACAGAGCCAAACAAUUGUGCAACUGAAUUGAGAAAUGCUUUUUGCUGUAACUACUCAAGUAGGAAUCUAAAGAAGUAAGCCAGAAAUCUAAACGACAUUUCUCUCCAUAUUUUAAAUUAAAAGCUUCUAGCAGUAAGGCACUUUUGCUCCAAACUGAAAUAGGCCCUGCUGUAGUUAGUUAACUAUUAACAGGCUGCUAUAAAUAGUUUAAUUUCGAUUUCCAGUUCUUUGGGCUGGAGCGUAAUUGUUUCUGAGCGCCACCUGCUGCCCACUGUGACGUGGCUUCAGCAGAUUUCAAAGAGAGAGCAGGAUUCAUCUAUUUCAGCACAGAAUGAAAAGUGACAGGGAAGGGAGGAAUCCUGCAGGCCCUUUGGACUAAUGAGUACAUUCCAGCACAGGUGUGAACAUCCAUCCAUCCACUUCUUCACAGAAACUUCAGGAAUCUUUGCGGCGCAGCUAAACAACAAGAUUGAAAAAUCAGGAAAAAAAUCAGAAAGAGAUUUACCCUUCCUUUUGCCCACUUGCUACCAUCCAGGUAAGUAUUUCCAGUGCCUUCCUUCAAAGAGCAGGUAAGUAUGUCCAAGUUGGGAUAAGUCUGCUUUUUAGACUACAUCUCCCAGGAUUCUCUCUAUCCUAAGGGGCGAUUCUGGGCGUCGUAGUCCAAAACAAGCAGGGCUUCAGCUAUAUUAGUGGAAUCCCAUGCCCUAGGUGAGCCCCCAUCGGGCUGUUUUUCUGUCGUCGAGAUUGGAUGAGGUUGGUAUGCAUGGGAUCCAUCCCUCUUCUUGCAGGUCUAGAAGGUUAAGGCACUGGAGGAAGACAGGAAGGAAGGAAGGAAGGAAGGAAGGAAGGAAGGAAGGAAGGAAGGAAGGAAGGAAGGAAGGAAGGAAGGAAGAUUGUAUCAUCUCAUGGACGUCCAAACCAUCUGAAACCAAAUGAAGACAUGAAAGUAAAGAAGUGAUUUGAAGCAAAAGGUUAUUCCAUCCUUGCUCUGGUGUCCAAACUGACUGAAACCAAAGGAAGAGACAAAGCUGAAGACUUAUAUUCAAGACAAAUCUGUUCCCUGGAAAAGAAGCCUGCUAUGAACGCAAGAGGAACCCAGGACUCCAUAAUGCAUCCGUUCUCAGUGUUCCCAUCUUUUAACCUGGCAAUGCAGGCUGUGGCUGGUUGCCUUAAUUGGAGCCGAGAAGGAAUUUUUCCCCGUCACCCCCAAAUUGGCUCUGGGUGGAAACGGGUUUUUUGCCUUCUCUGCAUUGCCUUCCACCUGGAUUGCUGCAAAUGUCUUCAUUUGUGGCUCAGGAGGAGUUAAAAGAUGGGUUUCCCCAGGAAGAAGAAUUCAUAGUCUGUUCCAUGUUCAAUAAAAUAUAUCAAUUAAUGCUCAA